GACGAACGCUGGCGGCGUGCUUAACACAUGCAAGUCGAACGAUGAACUUGGAGCUUGCUCUGGGGGAUUAGUGGCGAACGGGUGAGUAACACGUGAGUAACCUGCCCUGGACUCUGGGAUAACUUCGAGAAAUCGGAGCUAAUACCGGAUAGGACCUUGCACCGCAUGGUGUGGGGUGGAAAGUGUUUCGGGUUGGGAUGGACUCGCGGCCUCUCAGCUUGUUGGUGAGGUAAUGGCUCACCGAUGCGUUGACGGGUAGCCGGCCGGAGAGUGUGACCGGGCACACUGGGCCUGAGACGCGGCGCAGACUCCUACGGCAGGCAGCAGUGGGGAAUAUGGCACGAUGGGCGCAAGCCGGAUGCAGCAACGCCGCGUGCGGGAUGACGGCCUUCGGGUUGUAAACCGCUUUUAGUAGGGAAGAAGCCUUCGGGUGACGGUACCUGCAGAAAAAGGACCGGCUAACUACGUGCCAGCCGCCGCGGUAACAC
rnacentral:rRNA from 1 species